UCAUUCUGAUGCAAUCUUCUGAGCCUUCUUUACCCAAGUCCCCACCGCCUCUGUGAACGGACAAGAAAAAGACACGCAGAGAUGGUGACAGUUUUUCUGUACAGCAUGCGAGACGAAGAUGCGCAGAGACAAGGCGUGCAUGUGUCUCUAACCUAGGCCCGAAAGUCUGGCUGGUGUCUCGCUGUCUGCUCUCCGCCAUGGCCAGCCCCUUCUCUGCCGGCCAGGCCCUGCCCCUUUUCGCUUAUUUAUUGAGACCCCGCCCCUCGAGGCGAAUCGCCCCCCGCCACUCGAUUUAUCGGUCCGCUGUG
ensembl:ncRNA F57G12.6 ncRNA